UUUUCAGAUACUUAAAUACAUGCAUAUGCAAGCAUUUGCAUGCACACACACAUACACGCACCUGCUAAGUCUAACAAAUCAAAUAUCAAUAUCCAGAAGAAACAGAUAAAUGCGAUAUGGAACAGUGUUGUUAAUGUACAGAGCAGGUUAUGGUCAUUCUUUUUACAUUCUCAUCCUCCCAGCUCAAUGGCAGCAUAAAACAUGACUAAGCACAAGUGGAUGCUGCUAAUUCUAUACAUCAAUUAAGAGCAAGUAUAUGGAAGAUUGAUAAUAAAAGAUUUAAAAUCAAACUUAAAAACGAACUCAACUCGGAAUUGAAUCCGCUCUUCCAUUCUUUGAAGAUUUGAAGGAAGAAGGGCAACUAAUUCAGCUGUUAGGCUUGGUAGAGAUUGAUUUGAA
rnacentral:misc_RNA from 1 species